UACAGAGGGUGCGAGCGUUGUUCGGAAUUACUGGGCGUAAAGCGCGCGCAGGCGGCCUUUUAAGUCUGCUGGUGAAAUGCCGGGGCUCAACCCCGUGCCCGCCACAGAUACUGGGAGGCUGGAGACAUGUAGAGGCAAGCGGAAUUCCGGGUGUAGCGGUGGAAUGCGUAGAGAUCCGGAAGAACACCGGAGGCGAAGGCGGCUUGCUGGGCAUGGUCUGACGC
rnacentral:rRNA from 1 species